CAAGACCUUGCGCUUUUGGAGCGGCCGAUGUCUGAUUAGCUAGUUGGUGAGGUAAAGGCUUACCAAGGCUUCGAUCAGUAGCUGGUCUGAGAGGACGACCAGCCACACUGGGACUGAGACACGGCCCAGACUCCUACGGGAGGCAGCAGUGGGGAAUUUUGGACAAUGGGGGAAACCCUGAUCCAGCCAUGCCGCGUGAGUGAAGAAGGCCUUCGGGUUGUAAAGCUCUUUCAGCCGGAACGAAACGGUCACGGUUAAUACCCGUGAUCACUGACGGUACCGGAAGAAGAAG
rnacentral:rRNA from 1 species